AGACCUCAGGUCAGGCGGGGCUACCCGCUGAGUUUAAGCAUAUCAAUAAGCGGAGGAAAAGAAACUAACAAGGAUCC
rnacentral:rRNA from 1 species